AAAAACGAAAACACUGGACUCAAUAUUCCAAGAGGAAAAUAUGCAUUUAAAGCUCUUCCCAAGCACACUUGCAACGUAAACAGACAAACCAUUAAUGAGCUCUUGUGCUCUCUGGUGCCCAUCAUCAGGUGGUUCGGAUACAGUGAGCUUGGCUGCAGCAUGUGGAUGUCAGAGCACGGAGUAGACAAUCCUCGAAUACCCCACUGCCUUCAUUCUUUGGGCUGCCACACCUCCCAGCCUGGGGAUGGGGCAGGAAAGCGUAUGGCCCAGUUUAAGGGUCUCCAUUUUUCAAAUAUUCAGAGAAAUAGUGACCAAAGCUGCCAUUUAGUCAAAGCUCCAAUUCUCAUGUUUCAUCCCUGUGAUGUUUCUAAAUCGGUUACAUUGAGUGGAGGAGUCCUUCUUGGCCUGCUUUGUUAUCAGAAAGGAUAUUUACUGCACCACCACUGUAUUGCAGAAGUGAUAUUCGCAGUGAAAGAAUUGGUGCAAAGCACAAAACAAAUUAUGUAAACAGUGGAAGACUGCGGAGAGACGAAUGGCUUUAAAUACAAGCCUUUUGACGACUCGAGAUCAAAAGAAGUACUGUUUAUCCUUUAAGCUGCAAAUGGCUGGCAAAUAUCCUUCUGCUCUGAUGCUGUAAAUAGUAAAUGCUGUUUACGACUAGUCAAUGUUUGUGUAUUUUAUGGGUCACAUUUAUUUCAGAGGGAUCAUUUUUUAUUUGCUGUGUUAACCUUACCUACAUUCCCCUGGGGCCAAGUCACCUCCUGGGCGCUAUUCCCGGCUCUGAUGUUGGUCACCUGGAAGGGUUGGGCAGCUCGUGUCCUGCCGCUAUGCCUUGAAUUCUGCACCAGCGGUGUUGGCCUGGCCCAGAAGGUUAUAGCUCUCCUGCUGAAUUGCUUGGAUGAAGCAGCAAUGUGAGGCUUGUAAAAGUUGAAGGUCACUGUGAAUGCAGCUCUUUUUCUCCAACAAAUGAGCGAACAUACCAACUGGACCAAGGCAAACCCUACAAAAGGACCAUGGCACAAAGGCACAGUGGUAAAGACUGUGGGAUGGUCUAAGAAGAGCUAUGUAAAAUCAUUCUGAAUAGCAGCGGUGUUACAAAACAUUGGCAGACAGAGGGAUGAGGGAGAUCCUUGGCUGCAGUCCAUGAGGCAUCUGGCCUGAUGGAUGGGCACCUAGACAGAAAGCCAAAGGCAACCAAAGGCUUUGGGCUGAUGCAUGACCACACUUGUCAUCUUCUGUCAUUCUGGGCCUACCACCGGGGACAGCAGUUGCAGUGACUUCGUUCGACUGAUGCGAGUAAUUACUUUAAUGAACUGUCUGCAGGAAAGCUAAAGAAAAACACAUCUUGUAAUGAU
rnacentral:lncRNA from 1 species